CGGCCACGGUACCCUAACCGUGCAAAGGUAGCAUAAUCACUUGUUCUUUAAAUAAGGACUUGUAUCAACGGCAUCACGAGGGUUCCACUGUCUCCUUUUUCUAAUCAGUGAAACUAAUCUCCCCGUGAAGAAGCGGGGAUACUUCUAUAAGACGAGAAGACCCCAUGGAGCUUUAAACCCAACUAUAUACCUGACUAUUAUAACCACUUAACCCCUUAGGANCCUAUAUAUUUGGUUUUAGGUUGGGGCGACCACGGAGUAUAACUAAACCUCCAUGAUGAACGAAACAACCCCUCUUAUCUAAGAGUUACACCUCUAAGAAUUAGUACACUAACACAAAAUGANCCCAUUAUUGAUCAACGAACCAAGUUACCCUGGGGAUAACAGCGCAAUCCAUUUUAAGAGCUCCUAUCGACAAAUGGGUUUACGACCUCGAUGUUGGAUCAGGAUAUCCCAGUGGUGCAGCAGCUACUAAAGGUUCGUUUGUUCAACGAUUAAAAUCCU
rnacentral:rRNA from 1 species